rnacentral:ncRNA from 1 species
UUACCCUACUGAUGACUGGUCGUUGCGCUAGUAAUCCUGCUCAGUACGAGAGGAACCGCAGGUUCGGACACUUGGUACAUGUGCCUGGUCGAGUGACCAGUGGUGCGAAGCUACCAUCCGUGGGAUUAUGACUGAACGCCUCUAAGUCAGAAUCCCACCUAAUCACUGCAACGAUACCGUUUGUGCCAUGCGCGUCGGUGGGCUAUUUUAGCUGGAGCGUACAUCUGUCCCGUACGGGUCAGACUACUCCGGCGACGAGGCCUAUUCGACUCGGAACAAUCAAGGGGCCGCCGAGACUAU